rnacentral:lncRNA from 1 species
AGUAGAUGUAAGGAAACAGCUUUGUCUCUGAGACCAGCAAAGGAGUGAGCCAGGAGACCCAACCCUUCCUACUGGGGAGAGUUUCACGGAGAUAGAGAGUGGCAAAGUGUGCCCAGCACAUUCUUAUGUCUGUGACAGAGCCAGUGAGGAGAUACACAACGAACGCAUAAUGGAAGGAGCUCAUCUUUCUUUGUGGCUGACAACUGAUACCGGGUCCACCCUGAGAACAUGUUAAAACACAUGAUUCCAAAUCCACAUCAGGAUACCUUUUAAGACUCAGGUAAGAGAGACAGUUCUUACAGAGAAUCUCUCUUCUUUUAGGUUCAGUGAAAUCUAAUCUCAGACU